AGAGUUGAUUAUGGCUCAGGAUGAACGCUAGCUACAGGCUUAACACAUGCAAGUCGAGGGGCAGCAUGAUCGAAGCUGCUUGAUUGAUGGCGACCGGCGCACGGGUGAGUAACGCGUAUCCAACCUUCCCUAUAGUAGAGAAUAGCCCGGCGAAAGUCGGAUUAAUGCUCUAUGUUGUAUUUAGAGGACAUCUGAAGAAUACCAAAGGUUUACCGCUAUAGGAGUGGGGAUGCGUCUGAUUAGGUAGUAGGCGGGGUAACGGCCCACCUAGCCGACGAUCAGUAGGGGUUCUGAGAGGAAGGUCCCCCACAUUGGAACUGAGACACGGUCCAAACUCCUACGGGAGGCAGCAGUGAGGAAUAUUGGUCAAUGGACGGAAGUCUGAACCAGCCAAGUAGCGUGCAGGAUGACGGCCCUAUGGGUUGUAAACUGCUUUUAUAUAGGGAUAAAGUCGGGGACGUGUCCCCGUUUGUAGGUACUAUAUGAAUAAGGACCGGCUAAUUCCGUGCCAGCAGCGGC
rnacentral:rRNA from 1 species